GACGAACGCUGGCGGCGUGCUUAACACAUGCAAGUCGAACGGAAAGGCCUGCUUUCCCUUGUGGAUUGCGGGUACUCGAGUGGCGAACGGGUGAGUAACACGUGAGUGAUCUGCCCCCAACUUGGCUAUAAGCCUGGGAAACUGGGUCUAAUUCCCGAUAGGACUGCAGGGUGGUGCCUGUGGUGGAAAACGAUUUUCUAGUGGUUGGGGAUGAGCUCGCGGCCUAUCAGCUUGUUGGUGGGGUAAUGGCCUACCAAGGCGGCGACGGGUAGCCGGCCUGAGAGGGUGGACGGCCACAUUGGGACUGAGAUACGGCCCAGACGCCUACGGGAGGCAGCAGUGGGGAAUAUUGCACAAUGGGCGGAAGCCUGAUGCAGCGACGCCGCGUGGGGGAUGACGGCCUUCGGGUUGUAAACUCCUUUCGACCGCGAGGAAGCCACCUGGUUGGAAGGGUGGUGACGGUAGUGGUAGAAGAAGCACCGGCUAACUACGU
rnacentral:rRNA from 1 species